CCUACGGGAGGCUGCAGUGGGGAAUAUUGGGCAAUGGGCGCAAGCCUGACCCAGCAACGCCGCGUGAAGGAAGAAGGCUUUCGGGUUGUAAACUUCUUUUCUCAGGGAAGAAGAAAGUGACGGUACCGGAGGAAUAAGCCACGGUUAUUUACGUGCAAGCAGCCGCGGUGAUACGUCGGUGGCUAGCGUUAUCCGGAUUUAUUGGGUGUAAAGGGAGUGGAGGGGGGAGCGAAAGUCAGAUGGGAAAACUCAGGGCUCAACCCUGAGCCUGCAUUUGAAACGGUGUGUCUUGAGUGCUGGUGAGGCAAUCGGAAUUCCUUGUGUAGCGGUGAAAUGCGUAGAUAUACGGAGGAACACCAGUUGCGAAGGCGGAUUGCUAGACAGUAACUGACGCUGAGGCGCGAAAGCGUGGGGAGCAAACAGGAUUAGAUACCCUAGUAGUC
rnacentral:rRNA from 1 species